rnacentral:rRNA from 1 species
GAUGAACGCUGGCGGCGUGCCUAAUACAUGCAAGUCGAGCGAACAGACGAGGAGCUUGCUCCUCUGACGUUAGCGGCGGACGGGUGAGUAACACGUGGAUAACCUACCUAUAAGACUGGGAUAACUUCGGGAAAUCGGAGCUAAUACCGGAUAAUAUAUUGAACCGCAUGGUUCAAUAGUGAAAGACGGUUUUGCUGUCACUUAUAGAUGGAUCCGCGCCGCAUUAGCUAGUUGGUAAGGUAACGGCUUACCAAGGCAACGAUGCGUAGCCGACCUGAGAGGGUGAUCGGCCACACUGGAACUGAGACACGGUCCAGACUCCUACGGGAGGCAGCAGUAGGGAAUCUUCCGCAAUGGGCGAAAGCCUGACGGAGCAACGCCGCGUGAGUGAUGAAGGUCUUCGGAUCGUAAAACUCUGUUAUUAGGGAAGAACAAAUGUGUAAGUAACUAUGCACGUCCUGACGGUACCUAAUCAGAAAGCCACGGCUAACUACGUG